GGUCUGGCGGUGACUUACUCUCCCACGACUUAAGUCGCAGUACCAUCAGCGUUUUUGCACUUAACUUCCGAGUUCGGGAAGGGAUCGGGUGUUU
rnacentral:rRNA from 1 species